rnacentral:rRNA from 1 species
UCAGUAACACGUAGUCAACAUGCCCAGAGGACGUGGAUAACCUCGGGAAACUGAGGAUAAACCGCGAUAGGUCAUGAUUUCUGGAAUGGUUUAUGGCUGAAAUCUAUAUGGCCUCUGGAUUGGACUGCGGCCGAUCAGGCUGUUGGUGAGGUAAUGGCCCACCAAACCUGUAACCGGUACGGGCUCUGAGAGGAGGAGCCCGGAGAUGGGCACUGAGACAAGGGCCCAGGCCCUAUGGGGCGCAGCAGGCGCGAAAUCUCUGCAAUAGGCGAAAGCUUGACAGGGUUACUCUGAGUGAUUCCCGCUAAGGGGAUCUUUUGGCACCUCUAAAAAUGGUGCAGAAUAAGGGGUGGGCAAGUCUGGUGCCAGCAGCCG